rnacentral:tRNA from 1 species
GGCAGCAAAGCUCAGUCGGUAGAGCAUGAGACUCUUAAUCUCAGGGUUGUGGGUUCCUGCUC